GGAGAGAGGCAGAGGAAGAGGAAAAAGCAGACCCCCUUUGAGCUGGGAGCCUGGUUUAACCAACUGGGCUGCCCAGGCACCCUUCAAAGUUUUGUUUUUUAAAGUGUUAUAAAAGUAGUAAGUGCUUGUGGUAGAAAGUAAGGUGCUUAUGGCAAAUAAAUAAAGAAUACAAAGAGCCUUGAAUAGAUGUCAAGUGUCUUUAUGGUCUGGAGAUAGGUAUAUUCAGUAUAUUUUAAUGUAUUUUUUCUAAUUUUGUACCUGCUUUUAUCAAUGUGUAUAUGUUUCUGUCUUGCAGUUACUCUGCUCUUUACUCUAAAUUACUUAUCCUCAAAUUAUGAUAUUUGGGCAGACAAUGUCAGCAUUCUGAUUAUAAGCCUCCACAUGCCCCAGCUUAUGAAUCAGAAAUUAUAAGGGUAGAGCCCCACCACCUGUGCUUAGUAUUCCAGAUGAUUGGUGUGCAUCAUAAAGUUUGAGAAUCACUAUUAUAUGAAAUUCCCCAUAUAAUCUCCUUACACAAGGGACCUUUUUCCAAUUUCUUCAUCUUUGUUUUUUUUCCUUUUUAUGUUAGAAGUUGUAAGUAUUUUAAAGUGUGUUCUACUUGUGCAAAGAAAAAGAAGCCUUCCCUCCCAAAUAUAAAACUCUGACUCCAUGUUUCCCUUGUAUUUAUAUUUGCCAAUUAGGCUUUUAGAAUUAAUAAUCUUACCCUUCACUUGCCAAAAAAUAAAAUAAUUUAACCAGACAAUGAGGGAGAAUCAUAAGAAGGCAUUAAAAAAAUCCACACAAAUGGGGGUACCUGGUUAGCUCAGUCAUAGGGCAUGCAACUCAGUCUUGGGAUUGUCAGUUUGAGCCCCACAUUGGGUGUAGAGAUUACUUAAAAAUAAAGUCUU